rnacentral:lncRNA from 1 species
UUGGGCCUGCACGCUUGCCUGGGCUCACAGAGCUGGGCUCAGAGCGCUGCUUUGAAGUGGCUCGGAGCCCCCAGCAGUGUACACAGCACUUUGGGAAAGCUUCCCAGGGCAUCUCUCACGGAGCACAGGAUUCUCUGGCACAAUGCCUGGUCCAGACCCAGUCCAGCCAGAGAGCAAACUGAAGUUGCACCAGCCUGAUAAUUGUUCCCAUCUCAUCUGAGCACAGAUGCCAGCACAGUCAGUGCCACUUCAGAAAACACAGAUGGAGACACACUCCAGGAGCAAGGAAGGUCAGAAACCUGCAGAGAUCAAGAGCUGAGGGAUCCUUUGUGGAAGCAGUGGUGAUAAGAAAAACCAGGGUGUUUCAGAUCAACUGGUCAAGAAUAAGCCAUACAACUCCUCACUGUAACUACGCCAAGAUGAUAAAACUCUGAAUUCAGAUGAAAGUUUGUUAUCCAAAAUAAGGUAAUCCCACAAUAGAGGCACCACAUCUGUAAUUCUCCUAGGGAUGCUGAGUUACCUUAGGCCACUCAUCUCUAAGCAGGAAGAAGCUAAAGUAAAAUAACUAAAAGUCCUUUUGCAGAAAGAAAUGCCUGGGGCUUUAACUAGAGCUCAAAAUAUGGCUUGGGGGUCUUUGAAAGGGUGAUGAUGUAAUGGAGGGUGAUAUUAUUCAAAUU